CAUGCAAGUCGAACGUGAACGGGGCAACCCUAGUAAAGUGGCGUACGGGUGAGUAACGCGUAGGUAAUCUACCCCAGAAUCCGGAAUAACCGGCCGAAAGGCUGGCUAAUACCAGAUAGAGCGACGAAAUCCGUAAUUGGGUUUUUCGGGAAAGGGGGGCCGUAAGGUCUCUCGUUUUGGGAUGAGCCUGCGUCUCAUUAGCUAGUUGGUAAGGUAAUGGCUUACCAAGGCAUUGAUGGGUAGCUGGUCUGAGAGGAUGAUCAGCCACACUGGAACUGAAACACGGUCCAGACUCCUACGGGAGGCAGCAGUGGGGAAUCUUGCGCAAUGGACGAAAGUCUGACGCAGCCACGCCGCGUGAGUGAAGAAGGCCUUCGGGUUGUAAAGCUCUGUCGAGCGGGACGAAAAGGUUUGGGGCUCAUACCUCCAGACUCUGACGGUACCGCUAAAGGAAGCACCGGCUAACUUCGUGCCAGCAGCCGCGGUAAUACGAGGGGUGCAAGCGUUGCUCGGAAUUAUUGGGCGUAAAGGGUAGGUAGGUGGUCUCAUUUGUCUGGGGUGAAAGCCUUGAGCUUAACUCGAGAAGUGCCUCAGAAACGGUGAGACUAGAGUUCUGGAGAGGGUCGUGGAAUUCCCGGUGUAGCGGUGAAAUGCGUAGAGAUCGGGAGGAACACCAGAGGCGAAGGCGGCGACCUGGACAGAUACUGACACUCAACUACGAAAGCGUGGGGAGCAAACAGGAUUAGAUACCCUGGUAGUCCACGCUGUAAACGAUGGGUACUAGGUUUGGUGGGUCUUGACCCCCGCCGAACCGGAGCUAACGCAAUAAGUACCCCGCCUGGGAAGUACGGUCGCAAGACUAAAACUCAAAGGAAUUGACGGGGGCCCGCACAAGCGGUGGAUCAUGUGGUUUAAUUCGAAGCAACGCGAAGAACCUUACCUGGAUUUGACAUCCUUCGACAACCGUAGAGAUACGGCUUUUGUAGCAAUACAACGGAGAGACAGGUGCUGCAUGGCUGUCGUCAGCUCGUGUG
rnacentral:rRNA from 1 species